UGGGGAAUCUUGGACAAUGGGGGCAACCCUGAUCCAGCCAUGCCGCGUGAGCGAUGAAGGCCUUAGGGUUGUAAAGCUCUUUCAGCGGGGAAGAUAAUGACGGUACCCGCAGAAGAAGCCCCGGCUAACUUCGUGCCAGCAGCCGCGGUAAUACGAAGGGGGCUAGCGUUGUUCGGAAUUACUGGGCGUAAAGCGCGCGUAGGCGGAUCGCUAAGUCAGGGGUGAAAUCCCAGGGCUCAACCCUGGAACUGCCUUUGAUACUGACGGUCUGGAGAUCGGGAGAGGUGAGUGGAAUUCCGAGUGUAGAGGUGAAAUUCGUAGAUAUUCGGAGGAACACCAGAAGCGAAGGCGGCUCACUGGCCCGAUACUGACGCUGAGGCGCGAAAGCGUGGGGAGCAAACA
rnacentral:rRNA from 1 species